UACGGAGGGUGCGAGCGUUGUCCGGAAUCACUGGGCGUAAAGGGCGCGUAGGUGGCUCGUGAAGCGUGCGGUGAAAGUCCGAGGCUCAACCUCGGAUCGGCCGUGGCGACUCGUGGGCUGGAGCACUGUAGAGGCGGGUGGAAUUCCGGGUGUAGCGGUGGAAUGCGUAGAGAUCCGGAAGAACACCAGUGGCGAAGGCGGCCCGCUGGGCAGUGGCUGACGCUGAAGCGCGACAGCGUGGGGAGCAAACAGG
rnacentral:rRNA from 1 species